rnacentral:rRNA from 1 species
UACAGAGGGUGCAAGCGUUAUCCGGAUUUACUGGGCGUAAAGCGUGCGCAGGCGGUUUUGUAAGUCUGACGUGAAAUCCCCGGGCUCAACCUGGGAAUUGCGUUGGAGACUGCAAGGCUAGAAUCUGGCAGAGGGGGGUAGAAUUCCACGUGUAGCAGUGAAAUGCGUAGAGAUGUGGAGGAACACCGAUGGCGAAGGCAGCCCCCUGGGUCAAGAUUGACGCUCAUGCACGAAAGCGUGGGGAGCAAACAGG